UACAGAGGGUGCAAGCGUUAAUCGGAAUUACUGGGCGUAAAGCGCGCGUAGGUGGUUUGUUAAGUUGGAUGUGAAAUCCCCGGGCUCAACCUAGGAACUGCAUUCAAAACUGACUGACUAGAGUAUGGUAGAGGGUGGUGGAAUUUCCUGUGUAGCGGUGAAAUGCGUAGAUAUAGGAAGGAACACCAGUGGCGAAGGCGACCACCUGGGCUAAUACUGACACUGAGGUGCGAAAGCGUGGGGAGCAAACAGG
rnacentral:rRNA from 1 species